rnacentral:rRNA from 1 species
AGCUAAUACUUGCUUUAGCACUCUUGAUUUAUUUCUUGAGUGUGUACUUGUUAAGCCUUAUAAGAAAAGAGUUAUUAACUUAAGGAAUUAUAACAAAGAAGUAACACGUAAUGGAUCAGUCCAUUUUUAGUGUGUAUCAAUCGAGUUUCUGACCUAUCAGCUUUUGAUGUUAGGGUAUUGGCCUAACAUGGCUAUGACGGGUAACGGGGAAUUAGAGUUCGAUUCCGGAGAGGGAGCCUGAGAAAUAGCUACCACAUCUAAGGAAGGCAGCAGGCGCGUAAAUUACCCAAUUCUAAAGAAGAGAGGUAGUGACAAGAAAUAACAAUACAAGGCCAAUCUGGCUUUGUAAUUGGAAUGAUGGGAAUUUAAAACCUUCCCAAAAUUCAAUUGGAGGGCAAGUCUGGUGCCAGCAGCCGCGGUAAUUCCAGCUCCAAUAGCGUAUAUUAAAAUUGUUGCAGUUAAAACGCUCGUAGUUGAAUUUCAAAGAAUCGAUAUUUUAAGUAACGCUUCUAGCUACAAAUCCACAUAACUGAUGCCUCCGCGUAUCGACUUUGUGCGCAUUUUAGCUAUUAUGUGUUCUUUUAAUUAAAAUGAUUCUUUUUAAGAUUCAUCUAUUAAGAAUUUGCUUCGGCAUAAUUUUUUUUGAUGAUCUUGUUACUCUGAGUAAAUUAGAGUGUUCAAAGCAAACAGAUAUAGCAUUUGUGCGUUUGAAUACUACAGCAUGGAAUAACAAAAUUGAACAAGUCAGAAUUUUUUUGUUCUUUUUUCUUAUUUUGGCUUAGUUACGAUUAAUAGGAGUAGCUUGGGGGCAUUUGUAUUCAGAUGUCAGAGGUGAAAUUCUUAGAUUUUCUGGAGACAAACAACUGCGAAAGCAUUUGCCUAAAAUACUUCCAUUAAUCAAGAACGAAAGUUAAGGGAGUGAAGACGAUCAGAUACCGUCGUAAUCUUAACCAUAAACUAUGCCGACUAGGCUUUGGAUGAAAGAUUUUAAAAUAAGAGUUUU